UAAUUCCUCUGGAAUUCCCCUGAGAAUUCCUCUGGAAUCCCUCUGAGAAUUCCUCUGGAAUCCCUCUGAGAAUUCCUCUGGAAUCCCUCUAAGAAUUUCUCUGGAAUUGCUCUGAGAAUUCCUCUGUAAUUCCUCUGAGAAUUCCUCUGAAAUUCCUCUGAGAAUUCCUCUGAGAAUUCCUCUGAGAAUUCCUCUGAGAAUUCCUCUAAAAUUCCUCUGAAGUUCCUAUGAAAUUCCUCUGAGAAUUCCCAUGAAAUUCCUUUCAUUAUUCCUCUGGAAUCCAUCUGGUUUUCCUCUGGAAUUCUUCUUGGAAUUUCUCUAGAAAUUCCUGGGAAAUUUUCUGGAAUUCCUCUGGGAAACCCUCUGGAAUUACUCUGGGAAUUUCUCUGGAAAUUCUUCUGGAAUUCCUUUGGGAAACCCUCUGGAAUUCCUCUGGGAAACCCUCUGGAAUUCCUCUAUGAUUUCUCCGGGAAUUUCUCUUGAACUCCUCUGGGAGUUCCUCUUGAAUUCCUCUGGAAUUUCCCUUGAAUUCCUCUGGAAUUCCUCUUCAAUUCCUCUGCAAUUUAUCUUGAAUUUCUUUGGAAUUCCUCUGGAAUUCCUCUCUCUGAGAAUUCCUCUGGAAUUCCUCUCUCUGAGAAUUCCUCUGGAAUUCCUCUCUCUGAGAAUUCCUCUGGAAUUCCUCUGAAAAUUCCUCUGAAAUUCCACUGGAUUUCCUCUGGAAAUUCCAUUGGAAUUCCUCUGAAAUUCCUCUGGAAUUUUUAUGGAAAUUUCUCUAGAUUUUCUCUGGGAAUUCCUCAGGAAUUCCUCUGAGAAUUUCUCUGAGAGUUCCUCUGGAAUUCUGCUGGGAAUUCCUCUAGGAAUGCCUUCAGAAUUUCCUUCAAGAAUUUCUCUAGAAAUUCAUCUAGAAAUCAUCUGGGAAUUCCUGUUGGAGUUCCUCUAAGAAUUUCUUUAGGAAUUCUUACGGGAAUUCUUCCCGGAGUUCCUCUUUGAAUUCCUCCGGCAUUUUGCCAUUUUUUUUAAGCAGUGUAAUUCCACAAGCACACACACGCUCUUCACGUCGUCAUCGUCGGGCGCCAUAAAAAUGAACCAUCUUCAAUUGCUCGCCGAAGCAAUUUAUUCAUAAAAAAGGACUUUUCGGGUAAACGAUGUAUGCGAUUUUCAGCCCGUCCGUCGCCAUGUGCGAGGGAAGGUCCUCGGGAGCCAUGUGGCCCACUUCCGGCGCCACACACACACACCGACCGUGUUGAUCCCAGUUGAGCGCGCACAGUGGAAAAAGAUUAGCGACGAUAGCGAUACGGGAUGAAACAUCUGCGUUAGUUGGAAAUUUAUGUCCAUUCUGGUCGGUCUGGCGUCUGUAGGGAUGAUGAUGGCGUUGGUAAUCCUCUCAAGAGCUUCGUGAUCGGAAUGAUCGCCAUCAUCAACCGGUUGGUUGUUGCUGGCUGGCGGUAGUGAGUGGCUAUAAAAAGGAAAGGUACUUCUCGUGCGGUUGCAUUCCACUUGCAUCAUCGACAUCCCUAAUGCCUUUCGCUACCACCAGCACCACGUUCGUUCUGGAAGACAUAUGUCGACUAGUUAUAUCCCGCACAGUCGUCGGUCGUCGGUUGGAUACGUCUGAAUUAUAGACACCAACCAGUGGAAUAUAAAUAGGAAAAAUGCAAUCCCUCAUAUCGCAUGCUACACCGCAGACAGUCAGUGAACAGCGAGCAAUUCGAUGCUACGGGUGGAUCCGGUGGUGGAUAUACUACUUCAUGGUCUACAUUCCGCAAACACUUCAGCCGUACUACUAGAGCACUCGUCGUCGCAUGUGAGUUCGACGGGAUGAAGCGAUGAGGCUAUUCGUUUCGAGUUUUGAUUGAACUGUACAGUCAAGCACAGAAGUGGAUUUGAUUGGGGGAAAAUAUUUACUUAAUAUACAUUGAAAUGUGUACAUGCAAACAGAUAAUGACAGAUUCUUUCAGUUAUUUCUUAUGAAUGCCGUUUUCACUGGAGUGUGGCUAUUUCUUCGAUUCCUUCGUAAGCUAUAGGGUUUUUAAGUCGUUUUAAAUAAUUGGGAAUAGAAGUCAAAUUGUCAAUGAAUUCUACCUGAUUUCCAGCUGAUGUUACAGAACAAUUUUAUAAACUGAGCUUCCCGGCCGGAUUAAGGCCUGAGUGUCCUGUGCUGUACGGCAUGGGAGGGUAUGUGUCUCCAGUUCUGCACUCUGCGAAGGGUCCGCAAAUCGUCUUCCACUUGAUCGACCCACCUAGCUCGCACGGCACCACAUCUUCUUGUACUGGUCGGAUGACCCACCAAAACCAUUUUAGUCGGGUUGCUAUCCAACAUCCUGAUGAUGUGGCCCGCCCAACGUAGCCUCCCGAUUUUCGAGGUGUAGAUGAUGGCUGGUUCUUUCAGCAGCUGAUGCAGCUCGUGGUUGAUUCGCAUUCUGCUAGUCCCGUCUACCAUCUGCACUCCGCCACUCCGCAACACCUUCUGUUCGAAAACUCCAAGGGCGCGUUGGUCCUCUGCACGUAGGGUCCAUGCUUCGUGCCCAUAGAGGACUACCGGUUGAAAAAGCGUAUUGUAGAUAGUUAACUUCGUGUUACGGCGAUCGAAUAAAUCGUAGAGUUCUGCGGAGUCCAAAGUAAGCUCGAUUUCCUGCCAUAAUGCGCCUCUGAAUUUAUCUGCUGGUGUCGUUGUUGGCGGUCACCAGUGAGCCCAAGUACACGAAUUCUUCAACCGCCUCGAUUUCAUCAGCGUCGAUAGAACUAAUCGCAAACGGAGCCUGUGGAGUACCAGGGCACCCUCCACAGUAUUUGCCCUUACUGUGCUAACCGGAGCAAUAGCGCGAUGGACCUUGUAUUUCUCCUAGACAAUGAGGUGCCCUUCUUCAAUAUCAUACUUGAGGCUGAAUUAGGGCGGGAUUAUGAAGAUGUUAUUAAUUAGUUUAAAUUUUCACCUAUAUGGUUUCGCAUUAUGCGUUUUUCACAGUGUAUUCUGUGUGGUGCUGUUCUUUUUUGUGCUGUGAUUGUUAAGAGUUUAAUCUUACCUAGUUUGGGUAAUGGCUACGGUUAGGAUAGCUCAGAUCAAUCUUCAGCACAAAAGAACAGCAACGAUCAAUCUUUGUAGACUUAUGCAAAAUGGUACAGCCCAAGUGGCGUUAGUCCAAGAACCUUACUUUCGUAAGGGGAAUUUCUAUCUAGGAAAUCUUGUGAAUCCGGUGUUUGCUACUUUCAGUAAAAAUGAAAUGGCUAACUCACGUGUCAUGCCUCGAGCAUGUGUGCUUGUCAACAACGCAAUCGUUGCUAUACUCAUCUUUAAACUAACUACUAGAGAUGUAUGUGCUAUCACAAUCGAUGUAUCUGUUGGAAGCCUCAACAGGAAAUACGUUUAUUAUUCGGUUUAUUUACCGCAUGAUGAACCAUCCCCAACGGAUGCUUUCAAGCAAGUCAUUGCAUAUUGCACUUCAAAAGGCCUUCCGCUUAUUGUUGGAAGUGAUGCUAAUGCUCACCAUAUCAUCUGGGGCAGCUCAGACAUUAAUUUGAGAGGCUCCAGUUUGAUGGAAUAGUUAAGUAGUACAGAUCUUAGAUUACUUAACAAAGCAACCGCCCAUCCUCCAUGGUAUCUGCUAGAGAGGAAGUGUUAGACAUAACCCUUUGCUCUAGUAGAAUUAGCCACGAGCUGACCAAUUGGCAUGUGUCAGAUGAAAAAUCUUUAUCUGACCAUCGCUACAUCUUGUUUGAACAUGCAAACUUUGCGUUUCAGGAACCCCCGGUCAACCAACUGGAAUCUCUUUACCGAUUUGGUUGCAGCCAAAUUUCAUGGAUAUUCACCAUCAAUUGACACUCCAAGUGAUUUCAUUGAUACUACAACGGCCUUCAUCAUGGAAGCUUUUGAAGAAGCAUGCCCCUGCGGUCUGGGAAGACCACAAGAGGAACCCCUUGGUGGACCUCCUAUCUGGCGAAGCUCAGGAAACAAUGUAGAAAGAGUUGGAAUAGACGACGUUCGGCUGGAUCGGAGGCUUUCAAGUCGGCUCGCAAGGGCUACCAGAAAGCUUUUCGGUCUGCUGAACGAUCCGGCAGGAAAAACCUUUAAACAAAUGUUUCCAGUCUGAGUGAAGCCAGUCGAUUGAACAAAAUCUAAGGAUUUUCAAGUGAACGAACUUCGUUUGCCAAAUGGUGAUUUCACUUCCUCUGAUGAGGAAGCUUUGAAAUGUUUACUCAGUACACACUUCCCCGGAUGUGUGGAUAUUACAUCUUCGGAUGAACCUGAUGUCUUUUCUUGUAGUUAUGAUUCUUUAGCUUCGGCUCGGAGUAUCAUAACUUUAGAAUCGAUUGAAUGGGCACUUAAUAGCUUUGCUCCUUUCAAAUCACGUGGGGCAGAUGGGAUUUAUCCUAUUUUGGUUCAGAAGGGAUUUGAUCAUUUCAAACAUGUUUUGAAACAACUACUUGUUUGCAGUUUUGCUACAGGGUAUAUUCCCAAAUCCUGGCGGGAUAUUACUGUAAAGUUUAUUCCGAAAGUGGGUCGUGCGUCGUAUGAAGAAGCAAAGAGCUUCAGACCUAUCAGUUUGACCUCUUUUCUUCUGAAAUGCUUAGAACGCAUUGUCGAUCGUCACAUCCGUGAUGUUCAUCUGGCCAAUGUGCCUCUUCAUGUGAACCAACAUGUUUACCAAACUGGAAAGUCCACUGUGACUCUUUUACAUAAAGUUGUUUACGAUGUCGAGAAGGCAUUCGCUGAAAAGCAUUCCUGCUUGGGUGUUUUCUUAGAUAUCGAGGGUGCCUUUGACAACGUGCCUUUCGAUGCCAUAUUGGAAGCCGCUCGGGGUCAUGGUUGUAACUAAUGGCGGUUAGGCCACAGCUACCGUUGGCUGAGGAGAGGGUCAUAGAAGGUGAUCCUUCUCAGCGGCUAACGAGACUCUGUAUUUACACUCAAUCACAGGGUCGGCACGCUUAUCCUACUAUUUCGCGGAUUCAGGAAAACACUUGGAUUGCCUUUUCACACUCCUGUUUAUUGGCUAACUUUUGUGCACUUUCUGUCUAUCUUCUAGCUAUCUACCUUCACCCUACUCUACCCACUUUCUUAUUUUAAUCUGACCUUCUUUCUUCGGGGCCCCUUUCUCCUGCUGCCGCCAUCAUCCACCGAUCCUCUUCUUCAUCGUCCUUCCUCUUCUCCCAUGUCCGUUGCGACUUUUGCCGCCCAAUCGAACCGGAGUGUCUGCGACCGCUGGAGAACGGGCCUCAGGUUGGUCCUCGGCCUGGAGUAGCGAAUGGCCGGAUCUUCAUCUGCCCAAGUCUUCGCCGGAUGUCUUCACGGCGGAGGGUGACCCAUCCUAGGGUUAGGGUUCACCUCUUGCUUUGUGGUAAAACCAUGGUAAUACUACGGAGUUCUGUGUAGGGGGGGGGGGGGUAUUCCAGUUAUUAUAUAAUUUAGCGAAUCAUCUAGAUUUAGCUUUUACCUGUGUCCUUAGAUUCCUACACACACAAUAGACACACAGUGGACACUUCGCAUCGAACUUCACUAGUGUCGAUCACUUGGGCAAAAUGGCCGUUUCUUCGAUCAAUCCAAGAUCUCCAAGAUCAUAAUGGCCUUCCUUCGCUACCACCGUCUACGUCCAUGUUUCAGACAAGGCAGAGUCAUCUGGUGGCUAAUGUGGCAGGAUGAUGGUAGCUGCUAUUUAUGGCUGCGUCCUUUUCGGGUGACCAGUAACACAGAGUGGAAACACACAACACAAACACUUUCCUGAAUUUAAUUUAACAAACAGACGAAUACUAUUCUAGACCGCGACAAACUCUCACAAACCUACUGAGGGGGUACUACAAACCGUUACAUGGUAUAUCACCAAUGAUUUCCAAUUGGAUUCACCAAAUGCUCAAAAACCGAUAUCUCUUCUCGACAUUGCGUCUAGCAGGGAUUAGGAAAUUGAGUGUUUGUGGAUGCCCCCAAGGGGGAGUCUUAUCACCGCUUUUGUGGAAUCUCGUAGCAGAUACGCUAUUGAGGCAACUCAAUAAUAGCGGUUUUCCUACUUAUGGUUUUGCUGACGACUACCUAACAUUGUUAGUCGGUAUGUGCAUCAGCACCCUUUUUGACCUGAUGCAAAGCUCCCUUCAGGUAGUUUGAGGGUAAAACAUCUAUUGUUUUUUUUUCACGGAAAAGCGAAACCGUAAUGGUGUUCGACCUUUGAUUCUGAAAUCAAUGUGACUGAACAGGUAAAGUACGUUGGAGUCAUUCUUGAUUCCAAGCUUUCCUUUACACCUCAUGUUGAGUUCAGAAUCAAGAAAGCUUGUAUGGCCUUCAGGCAAUGCCGACGAACCUUUGAUACAACUUGGGGUCUUAAACCCAAGUAAAUCAAAUGGAUUUACACAGCUGUUGUUCGUCCAAUAUUGGCUUAUGGAUGUCUUGUGAGGUGGCAAAAGGACGAAGUGAGAACGGUCCCAUUAAAAUUAGGUUAUCUCCAAAGGAUGUGCGUUCUCUUCAACUCCUACGGCAGCGCCCGCAGUUCUCUUUGACGUUGCCCCACUACACAUUCAUCGCAAACAAGAAGCACUUUCUUGCACAUACCGUCUAUGGGUACUCGGUUUUCUAAAGGAAACUCCUGUGAACCGCAGUUCAACACACACCACGUUGUUUCCACUUAUGGUGAAUUGGGACAAAGUUGUCUUUACUCCAAGUGAUCUUACAAUUGCUUGUAAUUUUCCAUAUAGGUCAUUUUCCACGAAAUUCCCUUCCCGGGAAUUUCAGACGGCAUCGUAUGUUACACUGAUGGCUUCUUUCUCGAAGGUCGAGCAGAAAUUUCUCCAGGGACUGACUUAAGAAAUUUUCAUUAGCGAUUCAUCUAGAGUCUAGGAAUUUUUCAAAUAAGAGUUUAAUGAAAUAUUGUAAAAUCUGAAUCAAUCUGUUUCAAAAAUGUAUCCAUCACGUUUUUCAAAAAAAUCUGUUAAGAUUCAUCCUGAUUUUUUUUUUUCAAGUACAGGUCGGACUUGAUUACCCGGAGUCGGGUUCUGGCGCUUCCCGAAAUAAUAUCUCGCAAACGGAAUGCUGCAAGAAGCUGAAGUUUUGACUGAUCACAAAUCAAAGUAGGUUUGACAACAUGUCAAAAUUUCAGCUUUAUGGAGCAUUUUGUUUCCCAGAUAUAUGUUUAAAAAGCAACCGAACCUGACUGAAUCGAGUCCGAUCUGUAUUUCAUUAUGAAAUUUUCCACGGGUUCCUUGAAAAAUCAUUCAAGGUUUAUUUCAAAAAAAAUUUCAGCGAUUUUUGCCACUCCCAGCGAAUUCUCAAUUUACCCUGAGUGAUUAUUUUAUAAAAUCAUCCAUGGCUUGCUUCAUAAAUUUCUUCAAAAAUGUUUCAGAAAUUCCUCCACAUAAAUUUACAAGGAUUUACCAAAAGAAUCAUCCAAAAUUCUCUACUAGAUUCCUUCGGAAAGCUUCCAUAGAUUUUCUCCGCAAUUUCUCAUUGUAUUGCCUUGGAAACUCCUCCAGGAAUUUCUUUAAAAAUUCACUCUUUUCUGAGUGUUUUUUGUGGAUAAUCUUUCACGGAAAUCCAUUUCAGAACUCUUUCAGAAAUCCAUCCACGAUUUUUUUUAUAAAAUCUUCCAUAGAUUCCUUCAAAAGCUUCCACGCAUUCUAUUAGAAUUACCUCUACGGAUUGGGGUCUCCAGUUAGCCUAGUGGUUAAGGCUUUGGAUCGCCAAUCCGGAGACGGCGGGUUCGAUUCCCGUUCCAGUCGGGAAAAUUUUCUCGACUUCCUGGGCAUAGAGUAUCAUUGUGCCUGCCACACAAUGUACAAAUUCAUGUAAUGGCAUGCAAAGAAAGCCCUCCAAUUAAUAACUGUGGAAGUGCUCAAAGAACACUUAAUUGAAGCGAGGCAGGCCAAGUCCCAGUGGGGACUUAGAGCCAUAAAGAAGAAGAAGAAGAACCUCUACGGAUUCUUGAAGAAAGCUACCACUUACUUCUUCAGAAAUUCCUCUUCAGAAAGUCAUAUUUCUUUCAUUAAAUUCUCCAAAGUUUCCAUCAGAAAUUCUCUCAGGGAUGCCGUAAGAAAAUAUUGCAGGGAUUUUUAUACGAAAUUCAUCAAAAGAUUCCAUCACUAAUACUUUCAGGUAUUUCAUUAGAAAUUCCUGUAAGAAUUGCUUAUGAAAUUUCUUAGACAAUUUGUUUCAUGGAUUUCUUUGGGAAUUCCUCUAGGAAUUCCUUCUGAUGAGACCUUCUUUUAAAGCAUUCUCUGAUGCACUCUUUCAGAAACUCCUCCAAAAGUUCUUUUAGAGAGUUUUUCAUGGAUUCUUUCAGAAAAUUUCCUGGAUUUUUUUUUCCCAGGAUUUCAAUCGGGAUCUUGAGCUACACGUUAUGCAAAAUAGGCAACUUUGGUACCUCAAUAUACUCUGGAAUAACUCCAGCACCAUGCGGACCAAGUCCCCAUGGCCCAAGGUCCAUAAACAAGAAGGGUUUUUUUGGGAAAUUUCUAAAAUUCCAUCAACAUCCGUCUAAAGAUUAAAAAUUAUAUUUUUUAGCUUUUCCGUAGUUGCAAAAUGUAUGUAGCUGGAUGUAGCCUUAUGGCACAAUUAUCCUAUUGAUUUUAACCCUAAAAGGGAUACCUUCAUGGCCUCAGUUUCGUCACCUCGCUGAGUGUGUUCCAUCAAAGACGAGCUCUGAAAGGCGCCUUUUAGGGUUAAAAUAGUAUUGCUGUCACUUUUCUUGUUUGUGGGCUUCGUGGGCGAGCAGUUAGCGGCGUCAGUCGUUCAGGUGUCUCGUAAUCCUCGGAGUGUCGGUUCGAUUCCCGCUCCAGCCGGGGAAAACUUUUCGGCAAACGUAAAUUUCUCCACUGGGCCACUGGGUGUUAUGUGUUGUCCGUUGUCGAAUGUUAGUAAUGUUUAGUCUGUGCGGCCUCUGGCCGAAGACGGUGCAAUUGUCUUAAAAAAGGCUGGUUAAGAGAAUAAAAACGGUGACAGAAUCGACGUUAGAUAAUAUCGUGGACUGACUUAAUUGAGUCAUCAAAACAGCUUUUCGACUGGUGUGACCAAGUGACAAACCAUUGCCGUCAAAGCACUUGAAGAUAAAAACUUUCCUGUUCAUGGUACUGCGAUCUACGCAUUGAUGUUUCGAUAUCAGAAAUUUAGUAAAACACCCCGAGCAGAGGAGAAUAUCAAAAUAAUAACAACUGAAUCACAAAAUCUGUUUUUAUAUCUUGGUUUGUUAUUAAUAACUUAUUGAGGCAUAACUUUUCCAUAACAGGUUUUGUUGGGCAAUCUUAUUUUGUUAUGAUCCUGCUAUUGGUAUAUUUUCUAUAAAUAACAUUUUAAUAAGAUGUUUUAUUGUAGAACAAGUUCUGUUAUUAUUGAAUUAUUGAGAGUGCACCAUUAUUUGAUCAUCAAUAGCACAACAAUAAAGUUUUGCAAUCACAACAACACCAUGCGAGAUUUACAGCAAAAGAAAUGAAAAAGUUAAAAUUUGCUGGCUCCCAUAAAAAAAAACAUGUUUUGAGUCUGUGAGCCAUAUUUUCGGUGUCCAUGAAUCGGUUAAGCUGAACUUUUGACACGGAACUAAGAAUUACUUGUAAUUUUUAUUUCUAAUUAGUUCGAUCCAUUUCAGUGGAAAAAAUGCAGAAUUUCUGUUGAUUCUAUUUUGGAAAUAAAAAAGUGAACAACCCCGAUCCACCAUAACUCAUAAGCAAAAAUAAUUUUUGAAAUUAUCUCAAGGCCGAUUGGCCCAGGUAGACUGGAAGCGUGCUAUUAAACUUUUUAAUUUCAAAAUUUGUUAUUGAAACAUUGUAUAAAUUCACUGUUAUUAAGUUGUUAUGAAACUAUCAAAACCUUUUAUUUAAAUGGUCUUCCAGGAACAUUUUUUGUUAUGAUUUUUGUUAUUUUGCCGCUUAUGACAGACAAGUUUAUAACAUGGUAUGUUAUGUUAAUAACAUGAAAAUAGCUCUUUGCGUUACUCAGUUUUUUUUUGGCAAACACAUUUUGUUAUGCUGUUGGUAUUUUCUUCUGCUCGGGACCUAAAGCACGAAAAUUAGCACGAAGGUUCUGCUGAUAGCUGAUCCACACCAAGUGGAUGACUGUCAAUCCACUGGAUUGUUUUGUAUUCGUAACAGAAGACACUGAUAAAAGUUCAUCCUCUGACUGUUUCCGCCCGAAGGUCCUAGCAGUGGAUGGGCUGAUAAUGUUACAGGAUGACAUCAUCUACCCCGAAAUGAGAAGGCACCCAUUUUACCGAUUUGGUUGCAUGGUGACAAGAUAAGAGAGGUGAAAGGUAGAAAACUUUGUCAACCCUUUUCUAUAUUUGUAGUGGAUAUCUCGGUUGAUUCAGUUUUCGUUUUUCGAAAUGUAAGUGAGGUACGGCUAGGGGUUCAUCUGAAAUGAAAUUAGAAGAACAGACUGAUCCCCACUCACAAAGAGAUAAGACAAGUCAUGAUUGCCUGUCAGGCCCAGAAGGCUUCGGGUCCAAAAUAACAUUAGUUCUAGUAAUGAAGGGUUCAAACAUGUAGCACAAAUUGAUACAUUUUAGAAUCUGAUGUACCGUUUCAAAGACGAUUUAAACGUACUUUAAACUUGCUUCUCCGCUACACAUUGUUCCAGUGGACGAAACUUGUUUCCAAACAGCGCAGCCAACGGAAGCCAGCCAGUGCGCUCGCUCUGUCUAAACCGCGCCACUUAAUUAUUUUGUUGGCGUUACUUGUAGCAAAACCUCCCUGCAAACGGCGCACUGAACCGUGAUGCAAAGCUGAUUGCUUCGAAAUUCAAUUUUCCAGCAUCCAGUUGACCGGCACACAAUUGAAACUCGUACACAAAAGCGGUUAUCGCACACUAAGCACAUCCAUUGUUUUGCUGCCUCCCAGAACCUGCGCGACCGUUCAGUGGCAGCAACACUCUGGUCCCCCUUCGUCUACCUCUAAUAUAAUGAGACUGCCCCAUGGUACGGUUCCGGAUAGGCCACCAGCCAGCAUCAGAAUCAUCAUCAGCAUCAGCUCCGGCACUACUCCGACCGACCAGCCAGCAUCACCCGGACCCGAGCAACGGCUAGUGAACGAGUUUUGCAUUCAAUAGAGCUGUGAUACAACACCGUGUUACACGUACACAUAACAAAAGCCGAAUGAAGUGACCGUAAACCGCGCUCGUUGGCCAACCAACCUUCGCUGGUUGGUUGCGGUGCGGCGCGCUGAAUAGUGUGUCUAAACAGCAAAAGGGCUUUUUGGUUCUGUUGAUUGGAACAAAAUGGAUAGCGCGCUUUUCAUCCGCGUGCUCCAAGCUGCCGAGGCGAGAUUGAAGCCAGUUGUCGGUGGUGUUACAAAUAAUUCCAUUGUAGACCUCAGUUGCUGCCUGCAUUCAACAGAUGAUGGGAAAUGAAUGCUUGGCACAACAUUUUUAUCACAUAUUUCUAAACACCCCACAUCGUAUUAAAACACUUCCGCUUUUACGGGCUUACGGUGGAAUUUGCAACUGUUAAUUCACUGCAGUUGAUAUUUAGUGGUUUGAAAUGGAUUACUGAAAAAGUGGAACUCUUCGUUCCGUCACUACUGGGGAUUUACAUAAAUGUGUGUACCGUGGAACAAGUGAUUUCUUCAGAAUUUUCCCAACUGAAUAUUUUAGAAAAUCUUGUAUGGAUUUCCCGAGAAAUUUCUCCGUGAAUUUCGUCUGAAAUUAUUUAGAGAUUUCGUAAGAAAUUCUUAGAAGUUUCUCGAACUAUGAAUUCAUUCAUGGAUUUCCUCAAAAAUUCCUCCACACGUUCCUUAAAAAAUCUCCCAAGAAAUCUUUCAAAAUAUUAGCUAGGGAUCCACGUGGUGAAUUUAAAUUUCAUUCACGCUGUGGAAAGUUGCCUUCACAGCUCGCUCACGACUUUGGUAUGCGUGUGCGACCCCAAUGUUAUUCGGCAAACUUUCAGAUUAAACUACAAGGUUAAAUUUAUCCAUACAUUGUUUUUCGAUAGCAUGCUUCUGAACUGAGAUAAUAGCAAAUGAAUGUAAAUCUUUGCAAAUGAAUGGUCGCACCCUUGACUAAUUCUUUAAGAAUUAUUUCAGAAAUUGCUUCAGUGUUUAAUUCAGGGAUUCUUCUGUCAGGGAUUCUUUGAGAUUUUUUUCAGGUAUUGCUCCAGAUUAUCCCUUUGAGAAGUUUUCCAUGGAUUCCAUAUGAAACUCUGCCAUCGAUUACUUAACCAAUUCUCCUAGAGAUUCCUUUAUAAAAUCCAUGAAAGAUUACUUCAAAAACUCUUUCAAGCAUUCUGUCAGAAAUCCUUCCAUCGAUGUCUUACAGGAACUCGUACAGGGAAAGUGUUGUGAACUCCUCUAGAGAAUUCUUAAGAAACUUUCCAGGGAUUCUACUGGAAAUUCCUACAGGAUUUCUCCAGAACUUUUUUCUAGAAAAUCAUGCAGAAAAUCCUCCAAAGAUUGUUGCAUUAUUACUUUCAGUUAUUCCCGCAGGAUUAUUCCUACAGAAAAUCAGACAAAGAUUGCCUUAAUAGUUUCUCCGUGUAUUCCUCCAUGUGCUUUCAAAAAAUUUCACGAAUUUUUUUUAAAGGAUACCUCUAGGAAAUUCUCUACUUUUUUCAAGGAAUUCUUUUGGAAAUUUCUCCAGAAAUAUUGUCUGAGAAUUCCUACAGGAAUUUCUAAAAAAAAAUUGAAAGUGAUUCUACCGGGAACUUUUGAAAAAGUUAUUCUAGGUUUUUCUGCAGAUAUUCCUGAAAUACUUGAGAAAUACGUUCACUCCGGGAAUACUUUCGGAAAAUCCUUCGAAAAUUUAUGUAAGGAAUUCUCCUGGUAUUGUUUCAAAAAUUUCCUAAUAAUAUCUUAUACGAAAUCCAACAAAUAUUUUUCGAGAAGUUUCUCCUGAUAUUCUUCUAUGAAUUCAUUUUUUUUUUCGUUUUCUACAGGAUUCUGGGAUUCUUCCAGAGAUUCUUUAAAGAAUUCCUCCAGAUAUUUCUUCAGGAGCUCGACAGGAUAUUUCUUUCAACCUUCCUUUAGGGAUUUUUUUUCGGAGCUAUCAAAUUUCUUCUGAAAUUUAUUCAGUAGUUCUGUCAGAAAUAUCACCAGGGACUCCUCCAAUAUCUUAAGGAUUUCUUCAGAAAUUUCAGUAAGGGACUCAUUGAAUAGUUAUCCCGAUUUUUUGAUUCAAAAAUUUCUAUAACAAUUCCUUUAAAAAUCCUCCAGCUAAUCUGAAAGUUAUCCAAUAAUUAUUGCAGAAAUUCCUGCAGAAAAUCUUACAAAGAUUUAUUUCAAAACCGCUGCUGUGUUUCCAUUUAUAUUUCUCCUAGGAUACCUUCAGAGAUUUUUACAGGAAUUCUUGAAGAUAUUUCUCUAGAGUUUUUUUUUUUGAAGUUCUUCCAGAAACUGCAUGUACUAUUUAUAUAGAGAAAUUCUUGAAAAAAGUUAAAAAGAUUCCCUGGAAGAACUUAUGCAGAUAGUUUAAUAGAUUUCUAGAAGAAAUUCUAGAAAACUUUCUGUAAAGAUUCCUGGACAAGAUCAUCAGAAGCAAUUUCUAUCUUAAGGCGAAACUGGAAGCAUUUCCUCAUAUUUUUGGUUUUUGAUUUUUUAUAAAUUAACGAAGGAAUAUUUUCAAAAUCGGUUUUCGUACACAUGUAGAGUAUGGAUCAACGUGUCUCCUGAAUUUUUCCCAGGUGGAAAAUGUUUUUCGUUUUUGCAGAAACCAUUUUCACGUGAAAUUUUGUAUAAAAAUGGUUUUUACAAAAACGAAAAACAUUUUUCACCAGGGAAAAAUUCUGGAGAUACCUUGAUCCAUACUCUACAUGUGUACGAAAACCGAUUUUGAAAAUAUUGCUUCGUUAUUUUAUUAAAAAUCAAAAACCAAAAAGUGAGGAAAUGGAUCCAGUUUCGCCUUAAGUUAAUUUUGGAGGAUUUCCAGUAGGAAUCCCUAACAGAAUACCUGAUGCAUCUCAUUGAGAUACUUCUGAAGGACAGCUUAGAAGAAUUUCGUGAGAAACUUCUGGAGGAACUCUGGAAGUAAUUUCGAGUAAAAAUGCCUGGAAAGUAUCGGGAGGAAGACAGAAAUUUAAAAGAGAAAUUAAUAGACAAAUUUUUGAAUGAAUUUUUAAGGGAUUUCUUAAGGACGCUCUCAAAUAAUUCCAAAACAUUUCUGCUUUAAUUCAUGCGAAAGUUCCAGACAAAAUUAAUAAAAAAAAUCUCUGAAUAAAUUUCUGAAGGGAUUUUUGGGAAAUUUUCUGAAGAAAUCUUUAGAAGAACUCUUACAGACACAUAUCUGUCAAAUUUAUUAUUUCAAACUUAUUGUUGCUCUUCAUGAAGCUUUGAAAACCACCAUAACUUAAAAGAUAAGUUAAAAGACGUAUGUAUAACAAUUAUCUAAAGGUUGUGGUAAAACAGUUGGAUUUAUUAGAAUUUUUUUUUAAAUUGCCGGGAAAACUGCUAACGGAGCCAUCAUACAGUAGAAUGGUUUCCAGGGAUUUAAGACAUCAGGGAAAUUUUUUUGAUUUUAAAAAGGUUAUUGUGUCGUUGUUCAUUUAGAGUAUUUUUUUUUUCAGGAAUUGCGAUGCAAUUUGUAAUAAGAUUGCUUAAUUUUUUUUUUUAAUUUUGAAGCAAUUGAGAUAUUUCCUGAAAAUCGCAACCAAUAUCUUUCCAAGAUAAUUUUUUAAAAACACAGAGAAACAUCUGUUGGAAUUCUGAAAUAUUCUUGCGAAGCCUGAAAUAAAUAGUAAAUGAUUAAAAACAUCUCAAAAAAAUCUUGCAGUAAACCAAAGAUGAUUACUGCUGCGGAUUAUCAAGAAAUCAUCUGAAAAAAAAAAGACUGAUGUUGUUGAAAAAAAUCGCAGGAAAUAUGCGGUUUAAGGAAUUAUUCCUAGGAUUUUUUUUAGGGACCACAAUUUGUAUUAGAAGUAGCUUCGGAAAUUUCUAUAAAUAAUGCUUUAGGAACCUUCAUCAUAAGGCUCCCUAAAAAAUGUUUAUUAAUGCAUAUGAAUAUCUUUCUAUGAAUGUAUCGGAAAUAAAUUGAGUUCCGAAUAAUAGGAAGCAAUCAGUGAAGUACUAGAUUGAAAGUAGUGAGCUGGAUUUUUGUAUGGUGAGAUGAUCAGUUCUCCGUUUCUGCCAUGAAAUGGUGUAAACAGCGUGGGUUAUAUGAUUCCUUGCCUAAUUUGAUGCUAUUUGAGCAAAAGUUUGGGUAACUGUGUUGUUGAAGUUGCAAGAAAUAAAUAAUACAACAACACAGUUACCCAAACUUUUGCUCAAACAGCAUCAAAUUAGGCAAGAAAUCAUAUAACCCAAGCUGUUUGCACCAUUUCAUUGCAGAAACGGAGAACUGAUCAUCUCACCAUACAAAAAUCCAGCUCACUACUUUCAAUCUAGCACUUCACUGAUUGCUUCCUAUUAUUCGGAACUCAAUUUAUUUCCGAUACAUUCAUAGAAAGAUAUUCAUAUGCAUUAAUAAACAAUUUUUAGGGAGCCUUAUGAUGAAGGUUCCUAAAGCAUUAUUUAUAGAAAUUUCCGAAGCUACUUCUAAUACAAAUUGUGGUCCCUAAAAAAAUCCUAGGAAUAAUUCCUUAAACCGCAUAUUUCCUGCGAUUUUUUUCAACAACAUCAGUCUUUUUUUUCAGAUGAUUUCUUGAUAACCCGCAGCAGUAAUCAUCUUUGGUUUACUGCAAGAUUUUUUUGAGAUGUUUUUAAUCAUUUAUGGCGCGGAACGCAAAAGAAGAAUUCUUCUAAAGUAUUAUAAGGAAAACAAUCACAGAUUCUUCUAGAUAGCUUUUCGAAUUCCAAAGAAUGUAUUCAAACCAUCUUGCGACAAUUUUGGACAAUAUACUGCUAUUAUUUACUCUAAAAUUUCCAUAAAUUGCAACACUUUGACAGAUUUUUUUUCAGAACAAAAUGCUGAAAAAAGCACCUGGCCUGCUUUCGCAAAUGUUUGAGUAUUCCUAAAAGAUUUUAGGAAAUUUUAUUAUGUUAAGACUUUCUUCUGGAAUUUUUGUAGUAAUUCUGUGCUACAGAAACUUCUUUCAAAGCUAUUCAGUUUUUUCUCUCAAAACAAGAGCCAAAACUCGAUCCAAUUUGCCUUAGGAAGUAAUCUUCUGUAAAUACUACGGCUAUCUUUUCAAGUUUUUAUCAUAGAGCAUAAAAAAUUGAGUUUCUAAGAUUGUAAUCUAAACCCAGUAAUUUCUCUUCUGGUAUUCAUACAGUAUGACCCAUAAAAAAAUGUGACAGUUUUCAAAGUCAUCGUUCCCCUACUUCGAACUGAUCAACAUUGCAUGUAUCUAUUGGAUAGUAUAGUAGAAUCUGAUAAUGGCAAAGGAACAUAGACUGAUUUCAUUCACAUACCUUUACAAAGAUAACGUUGUACAUGGAUGUCGAAAUCGUCCACGCGCCUUAGGCCGUUUUUUAAUGAUAUAAUUUUCUUUGAAUUGCUUUCAAUCCCAUUCAAUCAAAUUUCAUUUCUUGAUCUUCAUCUUCUUCAAACUUGAUUUUUUUUUUUGAAAUUGUUAACAAUUCUAAGGUAUCCCAUAAAUGUACGUAAUUAACGAAUAUUUUGACAAUAGUUUUAGAGAUCCUGUAUGAUAAUGACCUCCUGAUUGAAUCCUAAUCCAGAAAAGUUUAAUUCAUUAGGAUUCUUUUAUUAAUAAUACCGCAAAAAAAUGGAACGUCCCUUUUUUUCUGGGCCAUACUGUAGAAUGUUUUUAAUGAUAUUUUCAUGCAAACUAUCGGGAAUUUCACUAAAAACAUACAAGCCAGAAAUGCAGGUUCCUUGAGGGUUCAUUAUAAGGAAUUUUAACAAACGUAUCUCAGGAUAUGAGAACUUGAUUAUAUUUUUUUCCAAUAAUUCUUUACAAAUUUCACUUGGAUUUUGAGAAAAUGAAAGAACUCGUAUAAUUUUCUCGACGGGUUCAUUUACAUAAUAAAGCGAUCCUCAAUGAAUCACCUUCAGGAAAAAACAAUAAUUUAUCAUUUGUACAGCAAAAAAAGCGUCGCAGCAUCAGCGAAAUAAUCGGAAAAAAAGCCUGUAUCCGAAAUAAUCGGGACAUAGAAAUACAACUGUAACUCUGCAAUAGAUACUUUAAAACUGCUCAAAUUUGGCCUAAGAACAUCUUAAGAUGUGUUCAUUUCACCUACAAAAUUUCAUGUGAAUCGGUGCAGUACUUUUUGUUGUAGCAAUGAAAGAGUAUAAUGUGCGCCAUUGAAUUUUGUACAGCCCCUAGUUUUGCUUGUCAGCACUGUAACUUUUGAAUUUGGCAAAGGAAAUGGCUGAAAUUUUGAACACAAACCUCUCAACCUACAUUUGUUGCAUGGGCAAAGUUUCAUAAAAAUCGAUGCUCUAUCAACAAUUUUAUAGUCGAACCAUGUAUUGGGACUGACCGUGAUUUUAGCCCCUCAGACAGCAAUUGGUCAGCACCCUUUAUUGUUUCUAUUGUACAAUCGAAAGUGCUAUACUAUUAAUCAUCAAAUUUUGCAGGCAUAAUAUACACUUAACCAACCAACUAGGGUAUCGGGAUGCUUCGUUGGCAUAGCCCCCUCAUUCGGCCUAUAUCAAUGUAAACCAAAAACUCAAACAAACACGCAUAACUAAAUAUCGGAAAAGCUAUGCGCCAAACAACUGUAACAUUUCGUUUCAAUUUUAGCACUUUGGAGCAUUAAAAUUGAAUGAAAAUGUCACUUUAUUUAACUUUUGUAGACGCCAUGAUUCUUCGGCUUAGUGGGUAGUCUAUACACAUGAUCAUAAAUGGCAUGAUUCUGGAACAUUUCGAAAUGACUUUUCAAUAACUGAACAUUUGAUGGGACGGUCAAAGACGCUAUUUUGAACUUGUGUAUUUGUUUUCAACGAAUAAUAACUAUUUUACAAAUUGAAUGUGGGCCGAAUAUUGAGGACAUUUUUUUCACUAUGUACCCAAAUCUUGGCCCAUCAGUAAAAUGACGUCAAAAACAACGAUAAAAAGACGUCAACAACAUUUCUUGCGUAAGAACCAGAAAGAACGAACAGGAAGAAAGAUUUUGUGUACGGUGACUGUAAAAAUAUAACACAAUAAUAGGGUUGCGUUGUUUUCGUUACUAGAUUAAGAAUGAAUUUUAGUUAAAGUGAUUUAUUUAUAGUUUUUUUGAAAAUUUGGCUCCGAAUAUGUAAUUUGAAAGUAAGAUUGGUGAAUAAACAGAGAUAAUACUUCAGCAGAAAUAUUGAAAAAAUAAGAUUAUUAGUGGUUCUAGUGCAUGGAAAGCAAUAGGCCAACGUUGUAUCCACUAAUAGGCCAAUUUUUGUACCAUAGACCAGGGGUUUUCAGACAUUUCGGCUCGCGGUGCACUUUUUGAAAAUAAAUCGCUCCAUGGUGCACAAGUUCAUUAUUGGUAACAAAAAAAAAAAACAAUUAUAAAUUCGUCAAAAAGCUGUCGUAUUUUUCACAGCAUUUCCAAGGUGAAUUAUGGCACUGUCUUACGUUUUUCAAGUGACAUAGUUAUUCAACUUGGAAUAUUUCUUGCUCAGAAUGUUUCUGAAAACUUACAGACAUGAUCUUUAUAAACGCUGAAUGAAAUCUUGAGCUGAACUAGUGGUAUUUUGUUUUCAAGAACCUCGGGGAAGUCCUUUGAAAACUACUAUAUUAUUUCUUGUGUGGUUUUUUGAUAGACAUUCUUCCAAGACUUUUACCAUAUUUCUUAAAAAUUUCUAGCAAGGCACUUGGAUUAUUUUAUUUUAUUUGGUUUUUUUUUCAGAACUUUGGCAUAUAUCGACAAUAUUUUUGAUAAAUUCCUUCCAGGCUCUCUUGUCAAUUCGGAAGGAGAUUUCUAUGAAAAUCAUAAAUACGUUAUCAGUAGAAUUCUUGGUUAACUGAUUUCGAGAACAGUGAUAGUUCCUUCUCUGAUAUUAAGCAAAGCCACAGAAAUAUUAGUAAGAUUUCUUCUGAGAUUUUUUAACGCAUUCAUUGAAGAUACAUUGGAGAUGCCUUGUAGGGUGCUUGUAAAUAUACAUUAUGAGAUCUUGGAAAAAAAGAAUAAUAUUUCUUAGGAGAGUUUUGGCCAAGAUUUUGGCAGAUUUGUUCCAUGAUUCUUUACGAAUAUCUGAGACGGUUUUAGCUGGAUCCGAGUUUAACUCGCCGGCUGGAAUAAUGGAAAUUUUAUUCUCAAGGAGUCCAGUUGUUCUAAUUAAUUCGAAAUAUUUUUCAUGACAUAGGUAAUGAAUUUAAAUUUUAAUUUUAAUAUGCAAGACUCCAGUUAGCCUAGUGGUUAAGGCUAUGGAUCGCCAAUCCGGAGACGGCGGGUUCGAUUCCCGUUCCGGUCGGGAAAAAUUUCUCGACUCCCUGGGCAUAGUAUAUCAUUGUGCUUGCCACACAAUAUACUAAUUCAUGCAAUGGCUGGCAAAGAAAGCCCUCCAAUUAAUAACUGUGGAAGUGCUCAAAGAACACUAAGUUAGAGAGAGGCAGGCCAAGUCUCAGUGGAGAUGUAGAGCCAUAAAGAAGAAGAAGAAGAUGCAAGACUUUUCUGAAGUGCUGCGGUGCACUUGCCAUGGCUUCGCGGUGCACCAAGUGCACCGCGGUGCACGAUCUGAAAACCGCUGCAUAGACCAACGUUGCAUACCAAGGCAUCGAAUCUUUUCAGCUUAAUUAAGUAAAUUCUUGAAUAUUUACGUAAGUUUACUUCCAAUUGGUGAAACAUGCAUUGCCUGGAGUGUGUAAUAGGGUCAACAUAUUAUUUUUAGUGCUAUUAAUUCAUGAGUUAUGGGCAAAAUUGUCAAGGCGGCUUGCAAAUUAGGCCAAGGAAUGGUACACAUACCCUACCUUCUGUUAACAUUUCAUGAAAAUUGACAGAUAAAUUCAAAAAUUAUGAAAAGGCAAACAUCGCACUUGGAAAACACGAAAAAUUUUCACCAACACUCACACCUAUCAACACCAGUAGCUUUCAAACCAAUUGAUAAAAGUUGAUGAAAUUUUGCAAAAAAGUGUCUCUAUAAGUAUUAUAACUGCUGUCGAUAUUUCAUAAUUAUCAUCACAGAACUUUGAACUGUAGCGUAAAAGAACCAUCUAUUAUGCUAAUGAAAUUUGGUCAUGAUUGUACGAAAUGCUUAAAACCACGUCUGUUUGUUUUUCAUCCACAGUUAAAAAUAAUGCAUCGAUUUUUAUGAAAUUUGGCACAAACAACAAACAUACACCAAAGAGUUCUCAGUCAAUUAUUUGGCCAAUUUUACCGAUUUAUUACAGAGCUACAGCCGUACUUCUGUGUCCCGAUUGUUGCGGAUACAGGCUUUAGUCUUGAAUUUUACAAGAAAUAAUCCAAUUAUUUCUACGGAAAUUAUUCAUUACAAUGUGUCACAAGUUUCUAACGGUUUGAUUUUUACUGAAAUUUCCAAUAAGGACUCUCAUUUUUUUUAAAACCUCGCAUGAAAAUUUUAAUGAAAAUAACAAACAAAAAAAUGCCUGUGAGAAAUGCAAUGCCUAAGAACCUGCAGGAAACUCAAACUUAUGAGUUUAGUUGACAAAUUUCUCGCAUCAUCGUGAAAAAUAUUUGAAAUGAACUGCAUGCGAACCAUUAAAGAUCGUUGUAAGAAAAAGUUUUCCUAAAAUUUUGCAAGCCUUUGGCUUUAAAUUUCAGCUUCUCUACUUUUAAUCGUAAUAAAAAACCAUCCUUUAUCGAGUAAACCCAUGCCAAGACGACGAGGCUCCAGGCAGAGGGAUAAAGCGAAUAAGAAAAUCCCACGCCUUGUACCAUUGGAGAAGGCAAAUGCGUGCAUCAUAUCGUCUUUUCCAUCGUCGUCGUAAGAAAAGCGUUCACCCAUCGCGCAAAGAUUUAAUAGUUAAUGUACAAACAUUUUUCUUUCCAUUUUGCUCCUGGUGUGUACUCGUUUUCGCAUACGAUUACCGAUGCCCUAAAGCUCCAACUCCAGUCGCUGCUUGCUGCAUGCAGUUCAUUCCAUUGCCGCCAAUCGCACGGGGUGGUAGGUGUGAGUAAAGUGAGUUCACCUGAAGAAUGUUCACACACGUAUCGCCAUCGUUGGUACCAGGCCAAGAUGUUCCUACCUGGCUGCAAGAAUUAUGAUCGUUUUUUUUUUCAGGCUGCCAGAGCAGACUGAGGACACACCAGAUACGGUAUCACUGCGUGUAAACGCAGUAAACCACCUGAAGUUGGAGCGAGCUGUCUGGCGGUAGGUAGGAUCAAGAAAGGUUGAGCUUAUCAUUGGGUGAAUCCUCCAGCCGGAUCCUCGUUGGUGCUGCUUGCUGUUGUCGGCAAGGAUAAAGUUGGUUAAGGUAUACACUGCCAAAGUAUGGCACUUGCAAGAUAUAAGUGAAGCCACCCGUCAUCGCACCGUUGCACAGUGAGAUCAAGCCAAGAAAGCCGAACCCCAAAUUCCCUACAUAUUUCAGUAUUGAGGCCUGAUUUUCGGUUUCGACUGUGUUGAAAUUCAAUGAGAGAAUGGCAUUUUAGUCCUGACAAUAUACAAAACUGCUAUUUAAAAAGACACGGAAACGUUUAGUACUUCCAGUGAGCUAUUCGCUCUUUGAAGGAAGCACGACACUAGACAACGGCAGGGGCGUACAAUUUCGUUUCAAUGAUACACUUUCAUGCAACAUUUGAAUGAGUCACUUCAAGCGUUUCAUACAUUUUUCUAAUGACUCGGUCGUUAAAAAAAACUUUUCCACUCAUCGUAGCACUCGGUAGUCUCCCACCCGGUCGCAUUGCUUGUGCUUCACCCGUCAGAGCAUUAGUGUCUCACUGGUGCGCGCUAGUCUCUCAAUGGUUACGGGCGCCGGUUAAUUGGAUUUAAGUGGUCGAAUUUGUUAUCCUCUUUCAUAAAACAUAAUUAUCAUUCUAUUGGCGUGCACCACUAUUUAAAAAUGUGGUUUAAAUAGUGUUUUAGCAUGUUGAAGUAUUUCAAUGACUCAUAACUGAAACGAAAAUCCAAGUGUAUCAUCCCAUGUUUCAUACACACUUGCUUCUGUAGCAGCAACGAACGAGUGUGUUGCUGGGUAAAAGAUGAAGCAUCACAGCAGUCCGUUCGCAUGGGAAACGAUUUGCUACAGUCGUCGUACGUCAUGUUUUCCUUUCGAAAUUGCACGACCCUGGACAACGGACUAGCAUGCAACGCCCUGUGGCACAGCUGAAAACUUCUCCUGACAGCUGCGGCGGAAAUCGAACCCGCGCUCCUAGCAUGAUGCGACUAAAUGCUUGGUGACACUAGCCGCACGACCACGAAGCCACACGUCUGACGUUUUGGUCACGUUUCGGAUCGUCCUUAGGGGCUCGUUUAUCACAGGUUCUUCGUCCAGAAUGUCCUAUUGGACUUUUUUUGUUCAACAGAACCUACUGGACGCAGAAUCUUUGAAAGAUGAGUCGCUGAGGAGGGCCCCAAUUGUGACCGAAACGUCGAACAAGAUUAAAUGGUAAUACAGUAGACGUUCGGUCGGUGCAAACGGUUUAACUGCAACGCUUUUUAACUGCAAGUUCGGUAAGUGCAACAAAUUUGCAGUUAUUGCACCGCUAAAUGUCAGAACGGUGCACCAUGUUAGCCCAAAUGAACAGUCGGAUGAAGUUCACGUUCAUUUAACGUCUGUUUUUUGACACUGUCAGGCGUUGCAGUUAUCGGAUUUUCGUUCGAUAAGUGAAACGUAAACAUGUUGCAGUUAUCGAACGUCUACUGUAUUUGAAUUUUGUCUAUAGUUUGAAACAACCAUUUUCACAUUAAAUAGAGCUUUGGGUAUGACAUCUUAAACUCUAUAAGGGACAUCAAGGUUUUCUUUCCGCGUAUUGUCGGAAACUUCUAUGUAUCGUAAUUUACAUCUUAAACAUGGCUUGUUAAUCCUCCUAAACAAACAAGAAAACGAGAAGAACGAAAAGAGGGACUAUUCGUCCAGGCUUUUACUCCACUAUUUCUCAUGUGUGAUUAGGAGAGUAAGGAAGAAAAAAGAAAAAGCAGGCUACGCCUAUAUGCUACAGUAAGAUCCCGAUUUUGUCGGCCCAAUUUCGCAACAAGUCUCGUUAUUUUACGGUCAGUUUUUAACCAAAUAAUUCGUGUUUAUCAUCAAACUACAACUUAAAUGCCGAACAUAGAGUGAUAAAAAUUUAAAAAAAACUGUUCAGGUUUCCGAGGAGAUCAAAUAAUGUGAUAUGCAAAGAGGCUGACAAAAUCGGGUAUUGAUAAAUUGAAAAUUUAAUCUACAUCCCAUGUGAGUAUUCCCAUUUUUGCAAAAGUGUAUCAUAACACUCUGUGAGUGCAAAAUCUUCCAUGGAUUGAUUAAGAAAAUCAUCAAAAAAGAAAAAAUAAACAUUACACGGAUAUCAUCUUAAAAUUAUCUGGGAGAUAACUUCGGACAUUCCACCAGGGAUUCUUUCAGAUAUUUUUCCCGAAAUUCUCCCAAAAAUUUACUCUGCUGAUUCCCUCAAAGCUUCUUCCACGAUUUCAUUUAAAAUUCCGAAUGGCUUUAGAUUUUAUUCAAAAGAUUUCCGCAAAUUCACUUCAAGGAGUAUUUUUUUAAUUUUUUAAAAUAAAGCAUCUUUCAAAAACCUUGGGAGAUUCCACAAAAGAUUCUUCUGGAAGUUCUUGAGAAACUUUACCAAAAAAUGCUUCAUAAAUGCCUCCAGGGAUACUUACGAAAAAUUGUGCACCCUUAAAAGAUUUUCAUAAGAAUUUAUAAAGUAUCCUCCUUUCAAAAUUUUUACUAGAUAUUUAUUCUGAAAUUUCUCCAUGGAUUUUUGAAGAAUAUACUCUCGAGAUUCCUGCAAAAGCUCUUUCAAGGUUUAGACGUUUUUAUGUAAGGUCUUUCCAGAAGAUCUUUUAGAUUUUUUUUCAAGGAUUACUAAAGAAAUUCCCCUUAUGGAUUAUUUCAAAAACAUCUUCUAAAGGUUCCUUCAGGAGUUUUUCUCAAGCAUUGUUUAAAAAACUCCUUCAGGAAUUCUCCCAGACAUUUGCAGGAGAUUCCUCAGAAAUAUAACUAGAAUUUUUUUUUAAUUUCAUGGAAUCUAUAAUAAAUUCGUACAUUGAUGAUUUUUUUUUCAGAAAUUCCUCUUCGCGAAAUUUGAAAAUCUUCCAUAGCAUUUAAAAAAAAUCCAUCAGAAAUUCCAGAAGAAACUUUCACGUUUUUUUUAAUUUGUAAAAAAACUUCUUUUUUUCACCUAGGGUUUGUUUAAGGAAUUUCUCCCACAGAUUCGUACAGAAAUUUCUGCAAUCCUUUCAAAAUUCGCUACAAAGACUGUUGUAUAAAUUCCUCCAGAAUUGUUUUCAGAAAUUCCGCUGAGAAUCCUCGAAAAAUUUUUCAAUGAGUUCCUAGUGAAUUUUUUAAAGAUAUUAUUCCAGACAUUUAUUUUGAAAUUGCCCAAAUUAUUUUUAUAAUUGGUGAAAAAUUCCUUUAAUAUUUCAAAAAUAUCUCUUAUAUUUUAAUGAAAUAUUGCUGAAUUUCCAUGAAAUUCUUCUCAGAUUCUUUCAAAGAUUUUCUGAACAUAUUAAUGAAUAUCUUUAUCAUCGAGACAUUUAACCAGUGGUUGGUUCAUUUUAGAUUUUUUAAAUGAUUUUUUAAAGGGAUUCCUCCAGGAUUUUUUUUUCGAAAAUUCCUUCCGAUAUUUCACCAGCAAUUUCUGCUGAUAUUUUUUUGGGAAAAUCCUGCAGAGAUUCCUACCAAGACUAUUCCAUGGGCUUUUGCAAAAAUGCUCUAUGUAUUUUUAUUUUUUUUUUUUUGAAAAGUUCAUCAAGGAUUAUUUUAGAAAUUCUUCACAUACUAUUAAACAACACAUUCACGGGUUCACUCUGCAAUUUUUGAGGGAUUGCUUAAGGAAUAUCUCAAGAGAUUACCCAAGAAAAAAAACUUGGAAUUCUUUAGAAUAUCUUGCAUGGAUUGUAUCAUAAAUUCUUCCAUAAGAUUAUUAAAAAGUUUCCUUUAGAAAUUCCUCUGAAUUUUUCACAACUUCUUCCAAGGAUCAGAUCUGAAAAUUGCUCCAAAGAUUGUUUCAGAUAUUCCAGCAGGGAUUACUUGAGAAAUUCUACCAGUUAUUUAACGAGAAAUUUAACAAAAAAAAAUAUUUAAAAGGAUUUUCAAAAAAAUUGAAAAAUAUAUUUAGAGGAAUAUCUGGAAGAAUCAAAGACUUUCUCAGGAACUCCUCUAAAUAUUUAUUCAAAAAUUUCUCCAGAAGCUUGGGUGCUUCCAAAAAUUUCUCUUAAAUAAUUUAUUCAUAAUUAUUCCUGAUUCCUGAAUUUAUUCCUGAUUUUUUUUGUAGAAAAUUCUUUUGAUAUGUCUACAGAAACUCAUCCAUGCCACGAGUUAAAGAAAAGUUCCAUCAAUUCCUCCAGUUUGAGUCCAAAGACUGCUCGAGAAAUUCCAUCACGGAAUAUUUAAAAAUCUUCCGAGGAUUCAUUCGGGAAUAUUCUUCAGAGAUUUGCUUUAAAACGCUUCCAAAGAUUUUCCAAAGGAGUUGCAUUUAAGACUCCACUUAAGGACAAGGUAUUUGGAGAACAUAGCUCAAAAAAACGGUGCUCUAGAAAAUUUGAGCUAUGUACUCCAAAUACCUUUCAUUCUACAAUAAUUAUUUUUGAAAAACUUACACGGAUUGUAUCAAAAAUUAUUGCAUGAGUUUAUAUAAAGACUUCCUCAGAAAUUUCUCUUUGUUUUCUCCAGAAAUUUCUCAGGUGAUUACUAUGAAAAAAACUUCAAAAAUGUCUAAAGAAACAUUCGCUAUUUUUUCAGAGUCUUCCAAAAAUUCCUUCUAAUAUUUACUCAGGGAUUGCUAUGGAUUUUUUCACGUAUUCCUACGGAAAUUUCUGCAACAAUUCUUCCACGGAUCCUUCUAAAAUUCUCCCAAGAAUUCUUUUUGAAAACUGCUUCAAAACUUUCUCAAGAGAUCUCUUAGUACAAAUAAAAUAAAUAACUUCAAUAAUUCAAACAUAACUACGGGCAUACCUCUGGGGAUUCACGUAGAAAUAUCUACAAGAAAUUUCCCUGAAAUUCUUCUGAGAGUCCUUUACGGAGUCCAACAGGAUAUGUCUUUGGAUUUUUUUUUUCAGAAGUUGCCCUUGCGAUUCUUCUUGAAGUUUCCAGAAAGAUUUUUCAGAUAUCUUCUGAUUUCUUCAGGAAUAACUCCAUGGAUUCUCUUUGAAAAUCCAACGAUUUCUCAAAAAGUUGCUUUCAGGAAGUUUUCCAAAGAUUUAUUCAAAAAUAUCUUCAACUAUGUCAUUGGAAAAUUUCCCAGGAAUUCUUAAAGAAUUUCCACCAGUAAGCCUUGCAGAAAAUCUUGCGAGGAUUAUUUUUUAAAUUUCUUGAGAAAUUAUUUCAAUAAAUCCUUUGAAAAUUCAUUUGUAAAUUUUCUCCUGGGUUUACUCAAUGAUUUUUUGUAUAUGAAAUACCUUCAGGGUUUCUGGCUCCAGAUAUUUCUUCAAAAUGUUUCUAUAGAUCUCUUUUGGGCAUUCGUAAAGAAUUCCUUCAAUAUUUCAAAAAAAUCUAUCAAAAAUUCUGAACAUGAUAGAGAUUUUUUCAUGGAUUCCCGCUGAAAUUCACCCAGGAAUUCCUUCACGGACUCCAAAAAAAAACUGAUUUAUUUCUAAAAGGAUUGUUUAAGAGAGAAAUUUCUCGAAGGAUUCUUUGGAAAAUCCUUCCCUUGAUUUCUUCAGGAAUUACUCCACGGGUUCUUUUCGAAAACCCAGCGAUUUCUCGGAAAUUUCGAAAAAGUGUCUUUGAGGAAGUUUGUAGGAAAUUUCUAUAAAAAUAUCUCCAAGUACUCCUAUGGGAAAUUUUUCAAUAAUUCCUCCAGGGAUUCUUUCAAAAAACUCUUGCAAGGAUUCAUUGGAAUAUUUCGUCCAAGAAUUCCUCUGUAAAACUUUUUUUUUCAAAUAUUUUUUUUUUUUUUAUUUUCCAGAGGUCUAUUUUGGAAUUCUAUAAAAAAUUCCUUCAAUUCUUCAAAAGAAAAUAUUUACAAACAUUUCUUUGGUAAAUCCUGUUCAUAUUUUUCCAACGAUUCUUCAGUAAUUCACCCAGGAACGGAUUACUAGGAAUAAUUUGGAAAUUUUCUUCAAGGAAUGUUUAAAAAAUUCCAGGUAUGAUAUUUUUUUGAAAAAUUCCCCAUCAGAAAUUUUUUGAAGGAUUCCUUUAGAAAACUUUGAUUUCUUCGGGGAUCCAUAGAAUUUAGUGCUCAAUUACAAAAUUCCCCGUGGAUUCUUGAUAAAAAUCAUCCAGCAGAAAAUCUUGCUAGGUUUCUUUCAAAAUUAUUCCAGAUUAUUUCAGAGAUACAUUGGCAAAUUUUUCCAGCUAUUUUUCUGGCGUUCCUUUCAAAAAAUUCUUGGUUGAUUUUCCAUGGAUAGUUUCAUAAAUUUCACAAAUUAUUUUCAAAAUUCUUCCUUAGAUUUACUUAAUGAUUCAUUUAGAAAAUUGCUUCGGAAAAACCUUCGGAACCUUACAGCGACUUUAUUUUAGAAAUUAUAUUAUCAUUCCAAGUGAAAUUCUUGCAGAAAUUGUUUUUUAAAUCAUGCAUUAAUUUCUCCAGAAGUGCCCCAAACUUUUUUCUAGGAAAUUUUCCAAAUUUAGGCAUUUCUCCAAAUUCCUCAGGGAUGCCAUAAAAAAUUGAAAAGCGAUACUUUAACAAAAUCAUCUAGGAAUUUCUUCAGAAUUUUCUCCAAGGAUUCCCUCAAAACUUCUUCCUGAGAUUUAUCAAUUGAACUUCUUCAAUAACUCUUGUAGAAAGUCUUCCAUAAAUUGCUUCCUAAAUUACAAGAAGGUUUUCUUUGAAAAAGUUUCCAGAAUUUACUUUCAGGCUGUGAUUCAAAGAGUCCUUCAAAAAACUUUCAAGAAUGGUAUAAUAAAAUCGUGUGAAAUUACUCCAACACUACUCCAUGAGAUUCUUCAUAAAUUUAUCCACAAUUUCCUUCAGAAAUUUCUUCAAGGAUUCCUCUUGAGAGCCUCGCAUGGAAAUCUUCAGAAAAUCAAACAUGAACUCUUAUGAAAAUUCCUCCUUUAGAAAAUCGAAGUCAGAUAUCAAAAUUCCUUCGGUAAAUUCUUCGGGAAAUAUCAGAAUUCCUUCAGAAAUUUGUCUAAAGAUUCAUUCCGAAAUUCAGAAAAAAAAUCAAAUUAGUGAAGAAGACUUAUUCAGAUAUGUUUUGGGAGUUUCUCCAUAAAUUUUCAGAAUAAUUCCUGUAGAAAUUCUUCAAGGAAAUCCUUCAGAAAUUUGUUCCAGUGAUUGUUUUAGAGACUCUUCCAAAAAUUCUUUCGAAAGUUCACACACCGGUUUCUUCAAAAUUUCUUCCAGGGAUUCCUCCAGGAACUCGUACAGCAAUUCUUCCAACUCUACUGGUGAUUAUUUUAAGAAUUUCGCCAUGUUUUGCACAGGAAAUUCCCAAAAGAUUGUAUCCAGGAUUUUUUUUUUUCAGAUCCCUUCAAAGAUACUUGCAUUAGUAUAGAGCAGUGAAUCAAAAUUCAACCAUCGCGCAACAAUAAUGACAAUGUCGCAACCUGUAUUUGUUGCGACAAAACAACACAUGCGACAUAAGUUUGUCCCAACUUGAAAAAAAUGGGAUCAACAUCGUACACCACGAGUUUAGAGAUUUUUAAGCCUUGCAUUUCGAUUUUCGAACGGUAACUUCGAGUCGGUAAAUACUACAACUCUGAUGAAGAUCUAUCAUCAAACAGUUUCGACUUUGGGUUAGUAAUAAUUGAUUAUUCACAAGUUGAAAAGUACGCAACAAAUUCAGCUUCCGUUUUGUCUGCAACAAAAAAUUUCGAGAUCAUAUCAUUAUCUGUUACCAGUAGCGAUAAAGAGUAAUCGUCGCACCUUCUUUGUUGUUUGUUUUGUGCCUCUUUUGUCUGACAAUUCUCUUCACUGGUAUAGAGGUAGUUCAGCGGGAUUCCUGCAGAACUUAUAAAAAAAUAUCUUGGAGAAUCCCUCUGGAUAUUUUUCUUUGUAUUUUCUCAGUACUUCUUCCGAUAUUUUUUCCAAGAACAACACUGGCAAAGUUUCCACGAAUUCUAAUUUUUACAGGACCCCCUUCAGAUUUUUAUCCCGGAGGGUUCUUAGGUAUUUACAGAGGUUGUUCCAUUCGUUCCUACAGUUAUUCCUCCAGAUAACCCCCCUGAAAUUUAAUUGGGAGACUUUUUUAUUAACUGUUCUAGAAAUAUCUCAAGAGAUUAUUUUAAGAAUUCCACCAGGGGUUUCCCAAACAGUU